UACGAAGGGGGCUAGCGUUGCUCGGAAUCACUGGGCGUAAAGGGUGCGUAGGCGGGCAGGUAAGUCAGUGGUGAAAUCCUGGAGCUUAACUCCAGAACUGCCAUUGAUACUAUCUGUCUUGAAUAUUGUGGAGGUAAGCGGAAUAUGUCAUGUAGCGGUGAAAUGCUUAGAUAUGACAUAGAACACCUAUUGCGAAGGCAGCUUACUACGCAUAUAUUGACGCUGAGGCACGAAAGCGUGGGGAUCAAACAGG
rnacentral:rRNA from 1 species